UACGGAGGAUGCGAGCGUUAUCCGGAUUUAUUGGGUUUAAAGGGUGCGUAGGCGGGAUGCCAAGUCAGCGGUAAAAAUGCGGUGCUCAACGCCGUCGAGCCGUUGAAACUGGCGUUCUUGAGUGGGCGAGAAGUAUGCGGAAUGCGUGGUGUAGCGGUGAAAUGCAUAGAUAUCACGCAGAACUCCGAUUGCGAAGGCAGCGCACCGGCGCCCUACUGACGCUCAGGCACGAAAGCGUGGGUAUCGAACAGG
rnacentral:rRNA from 1 species